UCGUUGAAUGUUUCAAUGGGCCGUCUC
rnacentral:sRNA from 1 species